AACCCGCGCUUCCAUGGCAGUCACUGAGGUGCAGGACGAGCGUCAAGAAUUUCGGGAAUGGAUGAAUAAAGGUUUGAACGAGAACAGCAAGCUCUUGAACGAGGAGCUAACAACAGAGCCUCUCAGCCAAACUCGUCAGAGCUGAUGCCGACGAUCGCAUGAGGUCGAGUUGGAGUUGGCAAUGGUGGCGACGUUGCUCUAGAAACUCAGCUGGCGUUACAGUGAGGGAGCUCGGCGGAAUGGUGAGGUGAGGGAGAAGAAUCAUCAGAGCUCCCUGACGCCGGUAGGAGAGCUCGUGAGAUAUAAAAGCCAUAGAGAGGACCCUUCGGUCCUGUUGGCGUGUGUAGAGAAAUCCAGGCGCGACAAAGGUGGAGGUCAGGAGAGGAAGAGAACCGGUUUCCAUGAGUGAUUCCAAGUCCGAGAGAAUAAAUGGAGAGGGAAUUCGUCUCUCUCUCUCUCUCUCUCUCUCUCUCUCUCUCUCUCUCUCUGUGUGGACACUCAAAAAACCAACGUCAUAAACAUUGCAGAGGGGAGGGAUUCUCUGGAAUUUUGCGGAGAAGACGCACAAUCAGGAGUUCCUUCCUCCUGUGGAUCUCCUCCUCUGCGGCUGCAUUCAAUCUCGCCUACCCCCUGCAG
rnacentral:lncRNA from 1 species